UACGGGGGGGGCAAGCGUUGUUCGGAAUUACUGGGCGUAAAGGGCGCGUAGGCGGCCUGCUAAGUCGGACGUGAAAUCCCUCGGCUCAACCGAGGAACUGCGUCCGAUACUGGUGGGCUUGAAUCCGGGAGAGGGAUGUGGAAUUCCAGGUGUAGCGGUGGAAUGCGUAGAUAUCUGGAGGAACACCGGUGGCGAAGGCGGCAUCCUGGACCGGUAUUGACGCUGAGGCGCGAAAGCUAGGGGAGCAAACGGG
rnacentral:rRNA from 1 species